CCUUGAUUCGCGCGAGCAUCUCGCGUUUCUUUUUGUGGGCUGGGGCAGGUGAAGAGGAAGUAGCAGCCCCAUGGUAAUUAAGAGGAGGGGAUUGGCAGUCGUCAGUCCAUUUCAUCCUCUGUCUCUCUCUAUCCUUUCUAUGUGAAAAUCCGAAGAUCUCUGAAGCGAAUCGAAGAGAAAUUGCCGUGCUCCUCCACAGCCAACGAGAGGAUGGGCGACGCUGCGCUGAUGAGGAGAUGGUUUGCAGAGUUUGCCUGAGCCCUUGCUACCGCGAGAGCAGGUCAAGCGACAUUAGCAUAUUGUGCCAUGCAACGAAAGGAAUAGUUUCAACAACCUGACAGGAGAUACGCUGAAGUUUAAGGCAAACAAACGGACGUACACCGUCAACUGUCACAAGGGGCCUAGAGAGGGUGCAAUGUAUGGGAGUGAGUGGAGGAAGUUUGUUUCAGACAACAAGUUGGGGAAGGGUCAGCUGGUUCUCUUCUACUUGGACCAGCCUUCCCCAAGGGCAGUUGUCUGUGUGAUUCAAUUCGGGAAUGACACUGAAGAUGAAGGAUCCAAGGAUGAUGAUGACUACAUGGAAGUUUCAGAUGAAGAAGACGAGGAUGGAGAAGCCAACAACAAACCAUGAUGACGACAUGAUUCGCACUAGGGUUCUUGAUCUGACUCAAGAAGAGGAAUCGGAUCUGGGAGGGCUCCUUCUGCUCAGCAAUGGAUUCAUAGGGUUGCCAUUUUGUGCACCGCCUCACGAGGACUGAUGUUUUUUUUGGGGAGCAUGGUAUGUAUCCAUUUUCUCACUGUUUUUUUCUUUUUUCUUUUUUGCAUGUAUAGUUUUUAAGUAAGUGGUGCAAACACUUUUGUUCUAUGUUAAUCCUGAAACGGGGAUCUUUUGCAUUAGUGAAACUGUUAUUUCUGAAA